rnacentral:rRNA from 1 species
AUACAGAGGGUGCGAGCGUUAAUCGGAAUUACUGGGCGUAAAGCGCGCGUAGGCGGCUUAUUAAGUCAGAUGUAAAAUCCCCGGGCUCAACCUGGGAACUGCAUCUGAUACUGGUAAGCUAGAGUUUUGGAGAGGGAAGUAGAAUUUCAGGUGUAGCGGUGAAAUGCAUAGAGAUCUGAAGGAAUACCAGUGGCGAAGGCGACUUCCUGGCCAAAAACUGACGCUGAGGUGCGAAAGCGUGGGUAGCAAACGGGAUUAGAAACCCUUGUAGUCC